GCACGUGAGUGUCCCAAUGCAACUUUGAUGGCUCAGUCCUAGCAGACGGCUUCUGGCAGUUUAGCCCAGCCAGCAACUUUGGCCUCAUCUCAGAGCAGAGGGCGAGGUCGAGGUAGAGGGGCAGCCUCUUCUUCAGCAGGUUCCAACGGGGAAGGUCCUUCAGCUCCAGCACGGAUCUUCACUAUGACUCAGCAGGAGGCUAACACAUCGAACACGGUGGUGUCAGGUAAUCUCACUAUUGGAUGUUCUGAUGUGUAUGCUCUUAUGGACCCUGG
rnacentral:lncRNA from 1 species